CUUUGGACGGAGAUGUGUGGUUUCUGCUACUAGUUCAUCCUGUCUUCACAUAGCUGCUGACCAAUACUUCAGUGCUUUAAAGCAUAUACUGGGGAUCAUCAGAACAUUGAAAAGCUACUGUGAUAACAUUUCAAUGGAAAAAACCCAAGACAGUUGAAAGAUUGGCAACACCAUGUGGGAUUUUCUGUUCCUGUCCAGUUCCAGAGGCUGACUUUAAAUCUUUGGCCAAAUUUUUUUCUCAACUAGAAGGCCUGAAUAUGCAGAUGGAUUAUCCAGGCUUACAAGAACACCAGCAUCAGAGCAGAGUAAAACUGAGAAAGUCUUGAUGUCUGCUUUGCUAUUCAGCGGAUUUUUCAUGACAGAGUCCCAUUUCAGAUGGUGUGUUAAGGAUAGCUGAUCUAGCAUGUUGAGGAGGCUCACUCUAAAGAUACUUGGUUUCCUCCACUGCCUGCAAAGGAAGUCACAAUGAAUGACUUGUAUAUACACUACACUACCUGAAGUUAGAACAAGUGACCCGGUACUUUGCGUCUGAAUGUUUAAGA